UCUUAUCAAGGAGAAAAUUCUUAGUGUGAA
rnacentral:piRNA from 1 species